UUUUUUUCCUUUUUUUGUUGUAAUUUUCUGAUUUUUUUCUUUUCGAAAUGAAGUAAAGCUCAAACAAAUCAAACUCAGACUACUAUUUUUUUGUCUUGUUUUCUGAAAAAUGCAAUCUUAAACUUGAAGAACUUUAAGAAAAGAACUCAAAGAACCAUAAAUCUCCUCAAAUUUUCUCUCUAAAAAUCCUCUCUAAUUUCUGGAAAAACAAAACAACCCCCUCCCCCCCCCCAAAAAAAAAGACCCCCCUUCAAAGAAAUAUCCUCACCUUAUAUAGAUCCUCAGAUAUUUUCGAAGCUUCUGCCCUCCUCUCCAAGAAAUCUCCAAAUAUUCCCUUUGAAUCCGAAAAAAACCAUGAAAAAUCUCACAAAGAACAAAAACCGGACAAAUGGAAGGCGUGGAUGUGAUUUCUCGCAUCCAACAACUCCCAUUUAACCGAGAUUCGUCCCAAGACUUCAAAAGCGUGUGAAAAUGGCUAAAUGCUGAAAAUAUUUUGUCAGAGACGGUUAUGCCACGUUCGAGAGAGAGGCGAAGACCAUGUGCAAGGUGUUCGGGGUGGAACUCGUUCUGAAACUUAACCGAGUUGGACGGAUUUGGGCGAGUAGAAUCGGGGAUAUGGGCUGGGUGCCGCUUUGGGGUCUCUAGGUUUAGGGUUUCGUUUGGGAAAAAAUGUUAUAAUAGAGGUUAUAUGUUUGGGGAAUGGGGCGGGUCAGAGAUGUGGGCUGGCGGGUUGUGGAUUAAAUUGGGCUCACAGAUUUUGGGGAUUUAAGUGAAAGAGAGGAGGUGUUGGGCUAAGGGCCUUUGGGGCUAGAAUUGGGCUUAUAAAUUGGUUUUGGUCCCAUUUCAAGGCUUCUCCCUUCUUGUUAUCAUUUUUUUUAAACCAAUAAAUUUAACUAAAAAUCCUAGAUUAAAAUCUAAUUUGUAAAAUCACACUAAUUAAUUAUUUAAAACAUAAACAUAACUAAUUAACUUAAAGCUAAUGCAAAGAAAUUACUAAUUUUGAAAUAAGAGCUAAAAAAAUGUAAUAAUAACCAAUAUUUUGAAUUUUUUUUAAAAAUGCAAUGCAUGAAAUUUGACCCUUUUUAAAGUAUUUACCAUGAUUUUUUUAAUAUUAAAUAUGAACUAAAAUGUAAUUAAAUGCAAACACUUACUAUAAAUUCCUAAAAUAAUAAACACUCAAAAGAAAGAUCCAUUUGUGACCUUUGUAGGAAUAUUAUUGUUCGGGCAAAAAUCACGUGCUCACAGUCUCAACACCUCAAAUAGGCCUAUAAACCUUAGGUUCAACUUUCUCUUCUUCUCGAAUCUCAUGAUCCCCUUCAUCGGCGAGACUUUCAAGAGAACUUUCUCGCCCACCAUAAAUGACAUGUGCGUGCCUUCUGAUUCGCGUAACUCGUCUGUUUGGAUUGUGCUUUGUGAAGUCGCUUCCGAAUCAACUUUACCUUUUUCAAGGCAUCGUUCACCAAAUUAGUACCAUAUAACUUAGCCUUGCCGGGCUCAAACCACCCGAUAGGAGAACAACAUCACCGACCAUAUAAAGCCUCAAAUGGAGCCAUCUCGGUGCUGGACUAAUAACUUUUGUUGUAAGAAAACUCUCCCAAAGGCAAGAAUCGAUCCCACUGCCCUCCAAAGUCAAUCACACAUACUCUGAGCAUGUCCUCCAAGAUCUGAACUGUCAGCUCUGACUGCCCGUCGGUCUAUGGAUGAAAUGUUGUGUUGAGCUUUAUGCGGGUCCCCAACUCACUCUGUACCGCUCUUCAGAAAUGCGAAGUGAACUGAGGGACUCUAUCUGAUAUGAUGGAAACAGGCACACCAUGUAACCGAACUAUCUCCUGAAUAUAAAUCUGGGCCAACCUCUCUGAAGUAUACGUAGUCACAACCGAAAUGAAGUGUGCCGACUUGGUCAACCUGUCGACAAUGACCCAAACUGCAUCAAACUUUCGCAAGGUCCGCGGCAACCCAACUACGAAGUCCAUAGUAAUGCACUCCUAUUUCUACUCUGGUAUAAUCAUCUGCUGGGUAGUCCACCUGGCCUCUGGUACUCAUACUUAACUUGCUGGCAAUUCAGGCACGUAACGACAUACUCAACUAUGUCUUUCUUCAUUUGCCGCCACCAAUAAUGCUGCCUCAGGUCAUGAUACAUCUUCAAAGCACCUGGAUAAAUGGAAUACCGAGAACCAUGUGCCUCCUCUAGAAUCCUCUCCCUCAAGCCAUCGACAUUUGGAACACAUAGACGACCCUGGAGUCGCAGAAUGCGCUCUAAUAGUGAAGAUUGGGCAACGACGCAUGCAAGAACUCGGAUAGGCUCUGAAAUGUCCAACCUCACUAGUCUGUUAGCCAAGGACUGAAUGUCCAAAGUUAGUGGCCUCUCCUAUUGAAAUGAAUUCUCAAGCUACCCAUACUCUCUGCCUUUCUGCUCAAAGCAUCCGCAACUACAUUCGCCUUGCCCGGAUGAUAAAGAAUAGUAAUAUAAUAUUUCUUUAGUAACUCAAGCCAUCUACGGUGUCACAAAUUGAGAUCCCUUUAUUUGAACAAAUGUGGCAAGCUGCAAUGAUUAGUGUCAACCUCACAAGAUACCCCAUAAAGAUAAUACCUCCAGAUUUUAAGAGCAUGGACAAUCGCGGGCAACUCCAAAUCAUGUACAUGGUAAUUCUUCUUAUGGGGCUUCAACUGACGUGAAGCAUAUGCAAUAAUUCGUCCAUCUUGCAUCAAUACACCACCCAAACCAACACGUGAAGCAUCGUAAUACACAAUAUACAUCCCUGAACCGGAAGACAAUACUAGAACUGGUGUCGUAGUCAGAGAUGUCUCGAGCUUCUGGAAGCUCGCCUCACAAUCAUCGGACCAACAGAACGGAGCACCCUUCUGGGUCAAUCUAGUCAAAUAUGCUGCAAUAGAUGAGAAUCCCUUCACAAACUGACGAUAAUAACCUGGCAACCCCAAGAAGCUCCUGAUCUCAGUCGUCGUAGUAAGACGAGGCCAACUCUGAACUACCUUAAUCUUCUUGGGAUAUACCUUAAUACCCUCGCCUGAUACAACAUGGCCAAGAAUGCUACAGAAUCUAGCCAAAACUCACACUUGGAGAACUUAGCAUAUAGUUUCUGUUCUCGCAAUCUGAAACACCACUCUCAAAUGCUGCUCGUGCUCCUCCAUGCUACGCAAGUAAAUCAAAAUGUCAUCAAUGAAGACAAUGACAAACGAAUCAAUAUAUGGCUUGAACACCCGAUUCAUCAAAUCCAUAAACGACGUUGGGGUGUUAGUCAAGACGAAGGACAUCACUAGAAACCCAUAAUGGCCAUAUCUAGUCCGAAGAGCAGUCUUCGGAACAUCCGAGUCCCGAAUCUUCAAUUGAUGGUACCCCGAUCUCAAGUGGAUCUUAGAUAACACCCCAGCACCCUGUAAUUGGUCAAACAAAUAAUCAAUGCACGGCAAUAGGUACUUGUUCUUAAUGGUAACUUUGUUCAACUGACGGUAAUCACUGCACAUCCACAUAGUCCCAUCUUUCUUCUUCACAAAUAACACUGGUGCACUCCAAGGUGACUCACUUGGUCUGAUGAACCCCUUUGCUAACAUCUCCUCAAGAUGUUCCUUCAAUUCCUUUAGAUCUUUUGGAGCCAUACAGUAUCGUGGGAUAGAUAUAGGAUGGGUACCUAGAUCCAAGCCAAUACAGAAAUUAAUAUCACGAUCUGGUGGCAUGCCUAGAAGAUCAGAACGAAACACAUCAGAGAGCUUCCAGACUACGGGUACUGAAUCAAUCGCUGGGGUCUCUGCGGUAGUAUCCCAAACAUAAGCUAGAUAAGCCAAACAACCCUUCUUGACCAUAUGUCGAGCCUUCAGAAAAGAGAUAACCUGACUAGAUGCAUUGACAUGCGAACUCUUCCACUCCAAUCUAGGCAACUCUAGCAUCGCCAAGGUAAUAAUCUUGGCAUGGCAUGAUUUGGAGAUAACCAGUCCAUGCCCAGGAUAACCUCAAAAUCGAUCAUAUCAAGCAACAGAAGAUCCGCUUUAGUCUAGUAACCGCAGAAUGUGACAACACAUGACUGAUAGAUUCGAUCCACAAUAACAGAAUCGCCUACAAGAAUGGACACAUAAACAUGAGUACUCAAAACCUCUUGAGGAACAUCUAGGAAAUGAGAAAACAGAGAUGACGCAUAUGAAUAGGCAGACCCUGGAUCAAAUAAUACCGAAGUAUCCCUACCGUAGACAUAAAUAAUACUUGUGAUCACGACAUCUGAGGUCAUUGCAUCUGGUCUGGCCGGGAAAGCAUAGAAUCUAGAUGGAGCGCCACCUUCUUGGCCUUCACCUUUAGGACAACCCCUCCGCUUUUGGGCGGCCGAACAGCUGGUGCGGCUACUGGUGCUGUAAUCAUGGGUUGCUUACCAUGCUACACUGUCUUGCCCCGAAGCAUGGGACAAACCUCCAUACAUGACUAAGAUCCGCGCACUCGAAACAACCCAUUGGUACGGUAAUCUACUGACCUAAAGCCUGACCCUGAUGGCCUGAAUACCUAGUGGAAGAACCCUGGAUAGCUGGUGGGCGGUAAGAACUCUCUGGCAUGGUUCUGAAAUAGGGUCGAACUGGAUCACCCCGAGGAGGCGAUGUUGUUGGAUAUAUGGGCCUGCUAGGAUGACCUCUCUCAAACUGACCUCUACCCCCAGCCGGGGCACCUCUAAACUUUCCAAAAUAAUGGACCCACUUGUCCCGCUGCAUCUGCUCUCUACCUCUUUGAUAGUAACCCUCAAUCCUCUGAGCUAUCUCCACUACUAGCUGAUAAGAAGUCCCGAUCUCAACCUCCCGGGCCAUAGUGGCCUGAAUAACUGAGUGCAACCCCGCAACAAACCUCCUUACUCUUUUCGCGUUAGUAAGAAGUAUCAUAAGUGCAUGGCGAGACAACUCAAAGAUUCUCGCCUCAUAACCGGUCACUGACAUCUAACCCUGCUGGAGCUGUUCAAACUGAAACCGCAACUCUUCCCACUGGAGGGUGGAAUAUACUUAUCCAAGAAAAGGCGUGUAAAAUUAUCCCAAGUCAUGGGAGAAGAACUUACUGGUCUGGCGAGAAAAUGUGACUUCCACCAUCUACGAGCCCUGCCCUCUAGCUGAAAAGUAGUGAAAUCCACCCCGUAGACUCCAAUAUCCUCAUGUUGUGCAGUUUGUCCCUACACCGAUCAAUGAAGUCCUGGGGAUCCUCAUGUAGCUCACCCCCUUAGACAGAAAGGGGGUAGCCUAGUCCAUCUAUCCAAUAGGUUCUGCGGCUCGCCAGCCGCAACUGGUCUAGGCUCAGGUACUGUUGUUGCUACUGGCUGGGCCCUACCCACGGGUAGUGCACUCGAGGUUUGAUAUACAACAGUUGCAUGCCCAGGAGCCUGAGUAGUAGGGGUUUGUGCUUCCCCUACCGCCUGAGAUGUGGCUGGGUCUGGUAGAAAUAAACCAGUAUGGGUCAUAGAAUCCAUGAAACAUACAACCCAUAACCUCCAGAAAGCCCGAUGCUGACAUGAAAUCUACCGGGGUUGGCUUUGCUACAGGCACCUCGCCCUGCUCCUCAAUAAUGAGACCCUCUACUAGAUCCGCUGGUGUUAUAGCUGGGGCAACUCUGGGACGUCCUCGUCCCCUACCUCGGGCGGGUGCCCUCUUUCGGCCUCUAGCAACAGGGGGAGCAGCUCAUCCCUGGUCUGGAACAUCCGUCGUGCGCGUUCUCACCAUCUAUGAGAGAAUAAGAUAAAGACACUUAGUAUAACAUCAAUUGCACGAUAAGAGAUGAAGAAAGAGUAGUUUCCUAACAUCCUAUAGCCUCUCGAAGAUAAGUACGAACGUCUCUGUACCGAUCUGCAAGACUCUAUUACACAUGCUCAUAACUUGUGAGACCUACGUAAACCUAGUACUUUGAUACCAUGUUGUCACAGUCCAGUUUCUCCUAUAGGUCGUGAUGGCGCCGAACGUUACCGCUAGGCAAGCCUACAGGAACUAACUCUGUGAUCCUUUAUUGUAAAAAUUUAAAUGGUUGAUUUUUAGUUGUGCAUAAAUAAGAAGUAAGAAUUUAACAAAAAAAAAAUGAGAGAUCAAAUUUUGGAAAGCAAAUGAGAUAAGAAAAUAACCCAAAAACCAUCAAGUGUCUGCUAGCACAAACCUCCAAGACCCGGUGUCACAAAUAUAUGAGCUACUAGUAGAAUAUACAAAAGAAUACUACACUACUGUCUGAAGUGAAAUAGAUACAAAAUACAGGCAAAAGAAAGACUUUGACUGUUGUAUAAUGGGCUCAGAAGGCAGCUCACUGCAAAGUCUCGUAGUAGUCAAGGAUGUGUGCCGGACUGAGAUCCAGAUGCACCUGCCUCAGAUCCUGCACAUUUAGUGCAGAAGUGUAGCAUGAGUACAUAAACAACAUGUACCCAGUAAGUAUCCAGUCUAACCUCGAAGAAGUAGUGACGAGAAGUCGAUUUUGACACUUACUAUGGGCGAACAAUAAAAUGCCAAAAUUACAAUUAAGCAUGGAUUGCAUAAAUAUAGCUGAAACUCAUUAACAGGAAAUAAUAAACAAUUCGUUCACUAAUAGUAAAACCCAAAUUAAUUUCCAUCAUUUAACAAUUAAUCUCUCGGGCCAGUGAAGUAAUAUCAAUUAUAUUUGGGUUCCAAGAAUUUAUUACGCACGAAUUAUGCCGAGGUUGUACGGUCCGAUCCAACAUACAAAUAUAUAAACUGUGUACUGCCGAGGGUCGAACAACACGAAUCAUAUAUGCAUCUAUCAGCUACCGAGGCAUUCAGCCCGCACCGCGAGAAGAGAAAAUACUUUAUAACAAUCAAUUCAAAAUUUAUUAAGAGGCUAAUAUUCAAAGGAAUACCAAUUCUCAAUAACAACCAAGUGACCCGUCCACAACUUCAAGUAAGUGAAAUUUGACCUUUUACAAUUCCUUUAUCAAGUUCCAAUAUGACUUAAGCAAUUAAGGUAACAAGUAGGGUGCAAACAUGGUAAGUAUAGCGUGGUAUGAGUCCUAGACUACCCAGAUAAUGGCAUAAUUAGUAGCUACGUACGGACUCUCGUCACCUCGUGCAUACGUAGCCCCCACAAAUAGGAGCACGCAUUAAUCAAUUCAUCUAUGUGUUAAUUCCAUGCUUCAAGGUUAGAAAAGAGACUUACCUCGUCUAAAAGCCUACUUUCCGGUUCAAAGUUGUGCUUUAAACCCUCAACUUGGUGCCAAACGACUCGAAACUAGUCAAAUGUUAUAUAAAAUAGUCAAUACAUGUUCAAAAGUUCACAUCCUAACUAUCAAAGGGAUUUUCCAACCCUAUUUGAAGAAUCCCUAAAAUUCACCCCGGGCCCACGUGCCCGGAUUCCUGAAAUUUUCUAAGAAAGUUGUUACCCAUAACCUCAUGAACUCAAAUAUAUGAUUUUCACUAAAUUCCAUGACAAAUUUCGUGGUUAAAUCCUAUUUUUAUCAAACCCUAGGUUUUCACCUAAACCCAUAAUUUUCACUAAUUUAUAAGUUAUAAUCUACCCAUAAACCAUGUAUUUAUCUCACAUUCGGUAUGAAUUACUUACCUCAAUUAGUUGAUGACAAUCCCUCCUUAACCAACUCCAAAAUCUCCCCCAAGAAGUGUAAGAAAUAAGCAAAAAUGCCUAAGUCCCAUUUUAAAAGGACCACACUGCCUCCGGCGAUUCCGCACAUGCGGCAUCGCUUUUGCAGACCGAAGUCCACUUUCGUGGAAGUUCCUAAGGCUGGCUGGCUCCGCUUCUGCGGACGGGAUCCCGCUUCUGCGGAGCAUGGGGCGCACCGCGGUUCCUGGGCUGCCCUUCUUGGGCUGCUCUUGCGGGUCCUUGCUCGCUUCUGCGAGCUCGCACCUGCGACUGGCCCUCCACAGGUGCGAUUACACCAGAAGCUGAAAGCUUCAGCUGAUGCUCCCAAGUCCAAACUUGGUCCGAGCCUCGGCCGAUUAACACCCAGCACCCCCGAGGCCCGCCCGAACGUACCAACAAGUUUGAAAUUAUAAACGGACUCGCUUGAACUCUCGAAACACACAAAAUAAUAUCAAAACUAAGAAUCACACCCCAAACCAAUUGAAUCCAAAAAUAUGAACUUCAAGUUCUUCAAUUUACUUCCAACGCACCGAAACGUACUUAAACUACUCGGAAUGAUACCAAAUUUUGCGUGCAAGUCUUAAAUGACAUUACGAAACUAUUCCCGAUCUUGGAAUCUCAAUUGGACUUCGAUAACACCAAAAUCUACUCCAAACCAAAUUUAAAAAACUUUAAAACUUUCAAAGAGCCAACUUUCACUGUUAGGCGCCGAAACGCUAUCGGAUUAUCCAAAAUUCGAUCCGAACAUACGCGCAAGUCCGAAAUCAUCAUAAGAACCUAUUGGAAUCGUCAAAUCCCGAUUCCGAGGUCAUUUACUUAAAACUUUAACCGAAGUCAAACUUAGCCUUUUAAGGCGAACUUAAGCAACCAAGUAUUUCGAUUUCAACCCAAACUCUUCCAAAUCCCGAACUAAUCAUUCCCGCAAGUCAUAAGCAUGUACGAAGUGUCUUAUUUAAGAGAACGAGGUUCUAUAAAACAGAACAACUGGUCGAGUUGUUACACUUAAAUUUAAGGGGACCAAUUAUUUAUUGCGAGUACAAAUACGUUGGGUUGACGGUUAUGAUUAUUUAUUAAUAUUCUUUUAUACAAAGUCCAUCAAAUACAACAUGCAUGGCAAAGCUUGUCUAAAGCCUCGUGCUCGCUUGGUCAUAGGUGCAUGCGUUUGAGCAAUAUUUGAGUUAGAAAUUUUAAAAAGUAUAUAACUUUAAGUACAAAAAUAUGCUUUUACCGACCCUUUUAUAACUUCCUUUUCAAAUAUUCUUUUUUUAAUUUAACUCAAAAUUUGUUGAAGCACAAUUAAAUUAUGGUCUUAAAUGGGUUGUGAGCCAAAAAAGGAUUGCAAGAAUGCAAGUGUGUGAUUACAAAAUGUGUCAUUUUGUGCACGAUUAAAGAUUAAUUACAAAGGUAUUAACUUAAUUAGUCGAGUGUGUUGACAAAGUCCUUUGCCAUCUGUAUGCAGUUCGAAAAGCGCAGUUAGGCCACUUUAUCGCUUCAAUUGCAAACCCGACCAAGUUCAUUCCAAUUUAGAAUAUUAUGGGAUGACAAUAUUAUUUUUGUUUGUCCAUAUAUAUUUAUCUUGCCUUUUUAUUUUCAGUUGUACAAUUUGAAAUUCAAUCACAUUACAAAAUGCACUAAAAUUAUAAUCUUAACAAUUUGAAAUUCAAUCACUAAUGUAUAUUACAAAAUGCAUUAAAAUUAGAAUCUUAGUGAUUGUUGGACGUCUAAAUACCGCCAAUUGAAAAAAUAGAGUUAAUUAUGUAGUUAGGUUAUAACUAUACAUGAUAAGCGAGUUAAGAGUUGCAUGAUAAAAGAAAUAUUUUAUUGCCUUUUUCAUUUCACAAAUCAAAAUAGAACGAGAGAUAAAACUUGUUUCAUAAGCGGAAAUACAUUCAUAUAUCCUAGAGUUAUUGGAUGAAUAUUGGAAAAAGAAUCAAUACUUUCAUAAUGUAAGACACACCGAAGCCUUGAAUUAACCUAAAUAUUACACUUCAUAUCAUUUAUCAACAAAAGCUUUGACAUAAUUAAAAUUAGAACUACACCAAUUGAACACAUUAUACAAGGAUAAAACAUGUACAAGUAGUUCAAAUACAUAAUUUAAAACUUUUUCUGAAAAUGAAAGUAGAACCAAAUUCAUACCAUUAGUUGAGAAAAAAAUAAAUAAAAUUAAAGUACAUAGGUUAUGCCGAGUGCUAUAGGGUUGAGUCAAGCGAGCAGCACGAACCAGAGGUUCAUCUACUCCGAAAUUAACAUCAUUUUUUUUUCUUUUGGCGCCCUUUCCUCGAACCCCUCCGCCAAAAGUCUGUCUGUCAAGAUUCCUCCUCACUGUUCUCGCUUCCGAUUCCUCACAAAUACGAACCCCAUUCCCCUCUUCUCCCUUUUCUAUUUCAAAAGAUUUAUGUAGUCAACUCAUUACACUGUUUUCACAAAUCACUUGUAUUUCUUUCUAUUUUCAAUGGCUUCUGAGGAACAGUUGUCUGCAAUUAAAGUAAGCGUAAAAUUUGAGUUAUCGUUGAUGUUUUGGUUAUUAUUUUUUUUCUAUUCACUCUGUGGGUCCUGUAAGUUGAGUGCAAUAUUAUGUGUUUUUUGUGUGUUUUAGGGUGCUAAAGUGCUAAUGGUUGGUGCUGGUGGUAUUGGUUGUGAGCUGCUUAAAACCCUUGCUCUUUCUGGGUUUGAAGACAUUCAUAUUGUAAGUAAGAUUUAGCCCCAUCUUGGGUUUGCCUUUUUGAUAUUUACUGUUGUUAAGUAGUUUAUGAUUAGCUUUUGGGUCUAGAAAUAUUAGGGCUUUUUUCUAGGGUUUAGUGAGUAAGUUUUGUUGCCUUGUAACUAUUAGGAUUUUAACACUACGUGAUUUCUUUCCUCUGCUUAAGGGUUGGUGGGCAGAGUUACUUGGUACAAUAGCAGAGGUGCACGCAAAAUGGCCUAGGCACCACCUUCAUUAAAACAUAUUACGAUUUUUGCCAGUUAUUCAAUGGUGGGUUGUGCAUAAAAAGUUGAUACGAGGAAAAGUGUUGUGUUCUCUCUACAUAGCCUACAACUUUGGCCUCCAACCUUAUAUAUAUGUAUGAGAAAUUCAUUAGAAUUGGUAUUUAUUAAGAGAACUGGAGCGACUGCUUCAAGAGCCUGCUUCAAGAGAGAAGUUGCAGCAUUUGGCAUUUUGCUCCUUGAGCUAGUUAGAACUUCAAAUCCACUGGGAUCCUCCCCAUGGUUCUCUAAAGCAUAUUUUAUUGGUUAUAAUUGUCAUGGUUCGAGAGGAUGAAGAGAUAUGCUUUUGAAAGUUUAGUGUCGUCAAAGGCGCGCUUAAAGCACGCUUAAGUCCUGAAGCGAGGCUCAAAACAUGUUGAACGUUUCGCCUCGCUUAGCGGACACUUUAGUGUCGUCAUCAAGGUUCUAAGGCAUACUUUUUCUUGCCCAUGAUCUUAUCCUUAAGAGGCGACACUAAACAAUUGUUAUUUCACUUUAUCGUUUUUCAAUUUCUUUGUUCAUAUAUUUGUUAUUCAUGCUUAUAGAUGUUAGCCUUGAACUACAUGGAUAAUUUAUUUUCCAAUUCCGCCUGUCUUCAUUAAAGCCCACACUUUAUUUGCGUGUUACACGUAAAGCUCCAAUGGACCUUAGAGUUUUUUGCCUUUGAUGACACACUUUACGGUUUAGCUUUUGUCCAGAUAAGCAAUUCCGUUGCUACUGUAAAUAGAGAGAUUUAUGUCUCAUUUUUGGAUUAUUGACGAGCUCAGUGUUCAUGCUUUAUGAGCAAAUUGAUAUGACAAAAGAAGCGGGCAACAAUUUGAGUCAGCUCAUCGAAUGACAUAGCUGUUCCUGAGAAGUCCGAUGCUAUAGAACAGCUAAAACCUUGGUUCUCUGACUCUAAACUCUAAAGGUAUUCUUUCACGGUAAUAUUAGCAAGGAAGGUGAUUGACCUUACAAAUAGGCAACUGGCAGAGAGAACAGGAAUCUACAUAUCAUAGCUUGAAUAUCUCUGGCCACAGUUUGUGUUGGAUUACCGGCUAAGUUGCGCGGACUCUUCGAUUUUGGUGCCAUCCCCGUGCGGAUACGCGGACGGGAUACGUCCUGGAUGUGCUCAACUGACUUCGGACACCUUGACCGGAGUCCAUCGAUAAAUUUGGGAGAAAAAAUGAGAUUUUUGAUUUCUCAAAUAAAAAAUAAAACAGAUUUAGAACAAUGAAAGGAUAAUGUCCAUCUCGGAGAAUGAAAGAUUGAAUUGUACAAUAUUCAUAUAAGUUUUUCACAGAAUAUCUCUCAAAAUUUUACAAUAUUUUUAUAGCUUUAUUUUUUAUUAGCCGAAUCCCCGCACCCGAGUCCGAGCAACUUAAAUUACCGGAGCUAUAAUAACUGUUAGAUAUAUGCAUGCGAUGUGAUUUUUCUUUGUUCUGCAAAUAGGAAAGAGCUAGUCUUUAUGUUUUCUCUACAUGUUUUCCAUUGAUAGAUGAGCGCUGGCUCGUGUAUUGGAAUUUACUAGGAUCAGAGCCUACUUGAGUGAGAUUCCACUUUGUUGCUCUGUAGGUUGGAAGGCUGAUUGCAGGAUUUUAUUGAAAAACUAGAACCCCUGCAUUUUGGGCUGGAGGGGGGGGGGGGGUUGUAGGGGUGUGCUUUGUUUUUUUAGGGGUGAACUCCAUUGAUCAUCUUUAUUUGUUCCAUUUGCUCUCAGUCUAUUCGGAUGUACAUAUGGAGUUUGCAGAAGGGUGAGGGGGCUUCUGAAAUCUGUGAGGGUGGGGUGGGGUGAGGGUUCUGCGUCAUGUUAUUUGGACUCACUUUUGUUUGCACUGUCUCCAUUUAGUUUCUAACCUGGUUUCAUGUUUCAUUUUGUCUAUUUCCAGAUUGACAUGGAUACAAUCGAAGUCAGUAACUUAAAUAGACAAUUCUUGUUUCGACAGAAACAUGUUGGACAAUCUAAGGCUAAAGUAAGUAAAUCACAUCAAUUUCUUUUUUCUGGAUUCCAUUUUCAGACAGAUUUGGUUCCUAAGUAAUGUACUCAAAAUUUUCUCCAGGUUGCUAGAGAGGCUGUCCUAAAAUUUAGGCCUCAUAUUAGAAUUACACCAUACCAUGCAAAUGUCAAAGAUCCAGACUUCAAUGUGGAUUUUUUCAAGCAAUUCAAUGUUGUGCUUAAUGGCCUUGACAAUCUAGAUGCUAGGCGACAUGUGAACCGCCUUUGUUUGGCAUCUGGUGUCCCAUUAGUUGAAAGUGGGACUACAGGUUUCCUCGGCCAGGUAAAAUCUACUCUUUUUUUCUGUUUUUUAUACUAAAUUUCAUUUUAACUUCUGUCUCUGUCUUAUAUUUGCUAGUCUGUACAUUUUAGAUUUCUUAGCAACAUUCAAACUUGGAUGCAACCAGUGUAAUAUAUUAUAAUGGAAGUUACGUAAUUAAAAAAACAAACAUAAAGGGAAUAGUCUAUCAUAUUGUCUUGCAUGUGGCAUUCUCGAGGCGAAAAGUGUUGUGGUUGUUUAGCUACCAAUUGAAAACAGCUACUCGCUAUUUUAUACUUCUAUUUCCCUCUUCAAGUGAAAGAAGCUAUUAUAAUUCCACUAUUUUACUUGAUAACAAAACAAUUCCAAUAUUUUGAUGUCAAAUGUACCAUGUGAGAGUUAUGAAGCAGAUUGCUAAAUUUGAAGGGAAAAAAAUUCAGUUCAUAGUAAGAUAUAUUAAGAAAAGGUUCUUAACUAUUUUACUGAAAUUUAUGAAGUAUACAUGUUCCCCACUUGUGGGAUUAUACUGGGCCGUUGUUGUUGUUGUUGUUGUUGUUAUGAAGUAUACAUGUUGAUCAUCGUUACAGCUGUUAUAUCCAGUAACUUUUUAUUCUGUUCAAGACUGCUUGGAAAAUUGGAAAUAAUUGUUAGUUGGGUGGAGUUGGCCAAAUUGGAUCAGAUUAUGUCUUGUUCAAAAGAAUUCCUGCAAUCAUUAUCAUCAUCUUUAUUGCAUGUGAUCAAUUUCUUAUUUACCUCAUUCUUUUGAAGGAUGGAGCAAUAAUGAUGUUUUUCUGCUUUUCUCUGGAGUUGUUUGAUUCAGACUUUCUAGCCAAAAGGUCAAUCUGUUUUUUACACCCUCUAAGUCAUAGAAGAACUACAUAAUCCUGUAGCUUUCUAUGUGUUGUUGAAGGUCUGAGGUUCCUAUGUGGCUGCUCUUGUUUUUGGUUCUGGUCCCAAAGUGUAUUACCAUGUGGUCUGCUAUGUCUAUUUAUCAACUGACUGAAUUUCCUAAUCAAAGGUGCUUUCAUGGAGUCUCAACUCCAAUUCAUGCCUUGAAGGCUAGAUGUUUAUUGAAUCUUUUUGCUUGGUGUCACCAUUGUAAUGUAAAUAUUGCUCUUUUGUUUUUGGAUUUUGUAAGCUCCUUGGGUUUUAGAUAGGAGUUGAAAAGCAUUAUACAGGAGCUAUCUGUUUUUUAAACACAUUUGCAUCCUCUGGAUGCUUGUCGAAUGAAAAUCGACUUUUACCUUAUAAAAAGAAAAGACUGAAUUUCCUUUGACUCUUACUAGUUCUGAAAUUCUUCUGGUCUACUCAUUUGUUGUUGGCAGGUCACCGUGCAUGUGAAGGGUAAAACAGAAUGUUAUGAAUGUCAGCCUAAACCAGCUCCAAAAACUUACCCUGUCUGUACAAUCACAAGCACUCCAUCAAAGGUACUGAUGAGUGCUUAAUCUUUUUGUUAAUAUAAAUUUGAGCUGAGCCAUGUAAAUCUGUAUAUCUGUAUUUAGUUAAAUGUCAUUCCGGUACUGAUACAUGAUGAAAGAGCUAUUUUCUCAGCAUAUUGCACAUAUUACAGUGAGAUUAUUGUUAGGUGCUUCUGUUUCUUGCCACUAAUGUGGCACUUGGUCUCUAUCAGCUACUUUUUCUAUGAUAUUAGAGGCUUAUAUGGGUAUUCAUCACAAUAAUACUUGCAAUGACUUGCCUUAAACAUUUUGUUUUGACAUUGUUUUCUGAUUCCAGUUUGUUCACUGCAUCGUAUGGGCAAAAGACCUGCUAUUUACAAAGCUUUUUGGAGACAAGAAUCAAGACAAUGACCUUAAUGUUCGUUCUACUGAUGCUUCAAGCUCGUCAGAACAUGCGGAAGAUGUUUUCGAGCGUAGAGCUGAUGAAGAUAUUGAGCAGUAUGGGAGGAGAAUAUAUGAUCAUGUUUUUGGUUACAACAUCGAAGUAGCAUUACGUAAUGAAGAGACGUGGAAGAACCGUAACAGGCCUAGGCCUCUAUACACCAAAGAUGUAUUGCCACCACAACCAGUUGAACAGAAUGGAAACAAGGAUAAAGCUUCAAAAACUUGUGACCCCACUUCAGUGUCUGCAAUGGCAUAUCUGGGCCUUAAAAAUCCUCAGGAUUUGUGGAGCCUAAAGGAAAAUUCUGAAGUAUUUCUCGAGGCAUUAAAACUCUUUUUCUUGAAAAGAGAGAAGGUUUUGAUACCAUCCCCACCUUCUGAUUCUGUUCUCUUUUACAUAGUUUAGAUUUCUAUUUCAUUUAAUCUAUGUUCUAAUUAUUUCUGUCUUUACCACUGUCGCAGGAAAUUGGCCAGUUGGGUUUUGAUAAGGAUGACCAGUUGGCUGUAGAGUUUGUGACUUCUGCUGCAAAUAUUCGUGCCGCUUCUUUUGGGAUUCCAUUACAUAGCCUUUUUGAAGCUAAAGGUAUUGCUGGCAAUAUCGUGCAUGCCGUUGCAACGACAAAUGCCAUCAUUGCAGGGUUGAUUGUGCUUGAAGCAAUGAAGGUGUUGCAAAAUGAUGUAAAAAGCUACAGGUAGGACUGAUUCCACUAUUUACUGCGCUUUUCUUCACUUGGAAGCAGAUAAUUAUUAUUUUGGAGAUCAACUAGAAUGGCCAAGAUAUCAGAUACUCCUGCCGGCUGUGACUGAUCUCUACAGGCUUCUUUGAAGCGAUUUACACAUGCUUCCAGUUCUCCUCUUUCCCACUUCCCGCUGCAUUUUUUUUUUUGAAAAUGAAUUUUGGUCAAAAUUGUUGAAGUGCGGAUUUCAUCAUCUGAUAUGGAUCAAGUGAAAAACAACUGUAAUCAGCUAGCGAUUAAUCAUUUGGGGAAGCAACAAAUUCAGUAGUUAUUAUAAGUAGUAAUUACGAUUGUUGAAGAGAGUGACCACCUCAUCUAAAAGUUUAAACUGCUAAGAGGGGAUAUUUUAUUAUCUAAUUUAGGUCUGCAGCGUGGCUGCUCAUGUGAGGGCCUGAUGUUUCUGCUCGGUUUGGAAAUAUUUUUGUUGAUGGGUGGAGAGACUUGAACUUAGGACUUCUGCCUGUUCUUACCACAUGAAAGUGUGUUGCCUAAUUCAAAAGUUUUAAGCUGUUAAAAGAGGAUCAUUGUAAAAGUAUCUCUGAAGGUCUGAAACCAUAAUUUUUACUAUGUCAAAAAUCAUUGCUAAAUUUAAUUCUGAUUAACAAAUUUAUUAUUCUUAUCGGAAUCAUAUGUUUUGGUCUCUUUGAUGCAGAAUUGAUAGAAAAGUAAACAAAUAAGGUAACUGAUCUACGAAAUAGUUGUGGAGUUUUGUUUCUAAAUUUAAAGGGUUUUCCGAGAACACUGCAUAAAGUACUAGAAAUUAUCAAUUUAAGUACAUGAAUGCAAUUUGUUGGGUGAAAUGUUAUUGAUUAUCACCAGUGCCAGUGUAGGGAUGAUUGUGGAUGAGAGAAUCUAUAGUUUUAGAAAACCCCUAAUUUGAAUUAUUGAAGACAAAUUAUAUAGUAUUGGAAUGCAUUAGCCAAAUAGAGCAAAGUGGAUAUAGAGGAUUCAUAUAGUGGAACCCUACUAAUUAGGGAUUGAGGAUUAGUUAAUUGAUUGCAUACUGAUUAUUCACUAUAGAAAAUAAAGAAUAUUUUAGCAGCUUUUAGCAAAUAGUAGAAAAUCAAAAUAAGGCAUCCUACCUCUUGAAGCAUUGUGCAAUGCAUGUCAUCCUGUUGUUCCGUGUAAAAAGUAAAAAGAAUAAGAAAGCUGCCAUGGCCUUGUAAAAUCCAAGAAGGAAAACAAUCAAAAGACUUGAGGAAAAAGUUUCAGGAGGCUUUUAUCUACCCUUUCUUUUAUUUUUUGUUAUUAGCUAACAAUAUAAGGACAAACUCCUAUUUGACCAAAUCUAUCAAGAACUCGGUGACGAGAACUUAUGCUGCAUAGAAGUACGACGAAUAGAACAAUGACCAUGUCUUUUUGCUAGGUACUGUUUAUAAUAGCAUGUGCACUCCCUUGCAGGAUGACUUAUUGCCUUGAGCAUUCCUCAAGAAAGAUGCUUCUCAUGCCAGUGGAGCCCUUUGAGCCAAACAAGUCUUGUUAUGUUUGUUCUGAGGUAUGAUCUACUGUAAAGUAUAAUAGAUUGUCUUUCCGCCUGCCCUGCUUUACGAAAUUUUGUUUCAGCUACUAAUUUCUCAUUUGAUGCAAAUAUAUGAGCAGACACCUUUAACACUUGAGAUCAAUACUCAUCGUUCGAAGUUGAGGGAUUUUGUUGAGAAGGUCGUUAAAGCAAAACUUGGCAUGAGCCUCCCAUUGAUCAUGCAUGGGGUGGCACUUCUUUAUGAGGUGGGUGAUGAUCUUGAGGAAGAUGAGGUUGCCAAUUAUGCAGCAAACCUUGACAAGGUACGGUAUUGUCAUGUCUGUGUAUGUAUAUGACGAAGCUCUAUAGUUAUCGGCUGAUAAGUUACUUGUCUCGGUGAUUAUAACACCCUUAGGUGCUGUCUGAGCUUCCCUCUCCGGUUACUGGUGGCACAAUUCUCACAGUUGAGGAUCUUCAGCAAGAGCUGAAAUGUAGCAUCAAUAUUAAGCACAGGUCCUCCUUGUUCUCACUAUCGUUGGAUUUACCUUUACAUGGAAUUUUACUUUUACGUAAUGUUAUUUGGUAUUUAGCAAUAGAGAGUUAGCUGAUGAUAUUUCAGAAGUUAAGUUGUUGGUGGAACUUGACAUGAUAGUUCAUUCAAGUUUAAUGAUUCUUCAUUCUUUUUCCUUUUGAUUCAUUCAUAUCUUACAUCGCAACCUUAAUUGCAUGCUCCCUUGAAUCUGUUUUAGUGCUUAUUCGUUGUACUGCUUGACUUGUAAUUUUCUAAUUCUGCCGGAUUAAGAUUAUGGUUUGGAUUGAUGCAUAGAAAGAAAGAAAUAAAGAAGAAGAGCAAGUUGGUGUUGUUAAAUGAAUCAUGCUUAUUAAACCUGGCCUGGACUAGCCUUUGGAAUAUGAUACAGUUAAUGGGCGAACUUGAUGCAAAGUCUUUAUUCGAUCUUUUAAUUGUUAAAGAGCUGCUCCUGGCUUGUGGGGGACUGAUUACUUUUUGGUCCAAGUGCGUAGCAAGAGAACUUUCAAAAUCUCAGAGUGUUCUCCUGAAAAUUUUCUAAUCUUAUAUCUGUAAGGUGUUUGUCUAUUACUUUUGUUCUCUCGCUAUAGCUGGGAGUCAAGGUAACCACUCCCUUCUCACAAAUUAACCGCCUCGCUUCCUUUUCGAGUUGUUUCAGUUUGUACCUAAAACUGUGUUUGCACUUUUAUGUUCUGGGGCCCACUUUUGUAUUGACAAAGGUUCUUCGAAGAAUAUGAUUGACCCAAAUUUUCAAAUAGGAUGUUGAUACUGUAAGUCUCUUUUAGUAGACUUGUAAAUGGGCAUCACCAAUAUUUUGUUAACGAAUCCUCUUAUCUAAUUGAAUAAAAUUAAGGCAGUAUGUUUAAUUGUCCAAUUAAACUAUGAAUUACAAUGGGAAAGAAGUUAGAUGUUCUAUUGAGAUACUCUCAAAUGACCUCUCCAGGAUCCCCAGGGUCAGGUUGACCAUUCUGUAAUGGACCUUGGACACUUAAAAUUCAUUUUCUUAAAAUGAAAUACGUGCACGUGCCACUAACCACUAGAUUAUGAUCGACUCCUCCACUAUGAGCUUCGCAUAUUAGAAAGGAAGCUGGAAUCUCCAUCUUGGCUUGAUUAAUUUGAUUGAUAUGUUUGUAGCUGAUUUAAAGAGUUGUUUGUGUUCUUGGUUUUCCCUGUCUAGGGAUUUCCCGUUAUUGCCAUGAAGAAUAUAAUUCUUCCUGACAUAAGGAAAUGAAAAUUCAGACAACCGGAAUCUAUCGGCAAUGAGUUCUUCAAUUAGAUAUUCUCAUGCUGCAUAAUGUGGUAGUCUCUGCUGGGCUUGGUUCGAGACAUUAUAUGUACACGUAGACUAGAUGUUUCUUCACCAACUUGUGCUAUGGCUAUUGUUCCAAGUCGUGUGGUUGUCUGUUGCUUUGAUGUAAUUGUUAUAUUUUCUUCUUUGAUGUUUUUCCCUUCCUUUUGCUUUUGAAGCUCAUCCUAUCCAUAGUAUGAGACUUGAAGCAUUAAAUUUUUUUGUGUGCCUGGUGGUUUGAUCCCUUUCCUUUUUGUAUUCCUUUUGGAGGACUUGUCUUAGUGUAUUUGGGAGUACAUUGCUAUUUUGAGGGCAUUCUGUAUAUAAGUACUUGCUUAUGCUGUUUAUUUUGUCCAUUGGCCUCAAUCCUGAAGAUUAUUUACUUUUUCUUCUCUUCUUGCUCUGCAGUCUCAAACUAAUUUGAACUGUUAUAUGAUUUUAUAUUUGCAGAGAAGAGUUUGAUGAGGAGAAAGAACCCGAUGAAAUGGUUCUUUCAGGAUGGACACCAGCUCUUGCAGCAGAAAAGAAAACCAAAACAUCUGACAAUGGCCCCAGCUCAUCCAAUGCAUCUCAGGCAGUUCAGCCGGAGCCGGAGGAUGAUGAUGAGUUAGAAAUUAUUCUCAAAGACCCUGAAAUUCUUUCUGCUGGGAAUAAAAGAAAGUUGUCUGACAUUUCAAACACUGCCGAUUCAGAGGUAUCCCGUGUCACUGGUGAAAUGCAGGCUAAAAGCCAUGUGGAAGAGGAUGAUACUCAUACUGAUACUAUCAUGAUUGAUGGAAAUUCAGACAUCAGCAAGAAAAAGAGGGUGCAAUAAUAAUUUCCAUGAUCUUAAUUCUAGCUGUGCUUCUAACUUUGUACGAUAUAGGGAAACAGUGAUUCUUUUUGCCACAUCCUAACUGAUGAGUUGUUGAUCUUUAGGUGCAAACUUCGUGAAGUUUUGAUACUGGCAUGAUGCCCCCAGUAACUCCAUUUCUAAUGUUGUCAUUUGGAGCAGUCUUGAUUCUGACUUUAACAGAUAUGACCGUCUAAGAAUGUAAUUCUCACUAUUUUACCAGGCACUUUCAAAUCGGGUCAUUUACUAUUGUGUCUCCUGUGUUUAGUUGUUAUAACGACUGCAUUUUCUUUUUCUCUUUUUGGUUCAUGUAUCCAUCGGUUUGUACAUACUAUUUUUAAGUCGUCAUAAAAAGGAAGGAUAGUAAACCCCAUUUGAUGGCCUCAAGACAGUUACAGAUCAUCAGAGGCUUGACAUGGAUUAAUACCAAAUUUUGUUCAUAUUGUAUGCAAUCUGCAACAUACCCUUAAGCCCAGAAGGUACUGGUUAGUCUGGUUUGACCUUGAAUAGCAAACUGAAAAUAGUAUGAGAAUUUUUCAAGCGACGGAAAAAAUUGUAUUUGAAAUGAUGAACUAGCAAAAUGUGACUCAAAUUACUCAAGAACCAGUCAGCGUAUAUAGUUACAUUCAAUGAGCAUUAACCCCAUCUAGAAUGCAAAAAAGCACAACAGUAAAGGAUGUAAGAGAAACUAUGAAGUAAAUAAUACUAUACAAUAGUACAUUAUUAUUCAAUUCACAAACUUUUUUCCAUCUACACCCAGCAUUUCAUGUUUGGAAUGCAAAACAAUCAAAAACAUGUCCGCCAGCUAUUGUGACUCAUUCAGAGAAGUCGCAGUAAAAGAGCUGGCUCCAACUAUAUAUACAUAUAUAUUUCAGCUGAGAUACACCAAUUGAGAUUUUUCUAUUAUAAUCUCUGUCAAAGUGAUUGUGGCAUUCAU
rnacentral:lncRNA from 1 species